rnacentral:rRNA from 1 species
UACGUAGGGUGCAAGCGUUGCCCGGAUUUAUUGGGCGUAAAGGGCGCGUAGGCGGCUCUGCACGUUCGUUGUGAAAUCGCCCGGCUCAACUGGGCGGGGUCAGCGGAUACGGCAGAGCUUGAGCAAGCUAGGGGGCAAUGGAAUUCCCGGUGUAGUGGUGAAAUGCGUAGAUAUCGGGAGGAACACCUGUGGCGAAAGCGGCUCACUGGACCGCAACUGACGCUGAGGCGCGAAAGCUAGGGGAGCAAACAGG